UACGUAGGGACCGAGCGUUGUCCGGAAUCAUUGGGCGUAAAGAGCGUGUAGGCGGCUUGGUAGGUCUCGUGUGAAAUCCCGCGGCUCAACCGCGGACCCGCACGGGAAACCCCCAAGCUCGAGUCCGGAAGAGGAGAGUGGAAUUCCUGGUGUAGCGGUGAAAUGCGCAGAUAUCAGGAAGAACACCCGUAGCGAAGGCGGCUCUCUGGGACGGUACUGACGCUGAGACGCGAAAGCGUGGGGAGCAAACAGGAUUAGAUACCCUGGUAGUCCACGCCGUAAACGAUGGGCGCUAGGUGUGGGAGGUGUCGACUCCUCCCGUGCCGAAGCUAACGCAUUAAGCGCCCCGCCUGGGGAGUACGGCCGCAAGGCUA
rnacentral:rRNA from 1 species